CCUUAGCCCCGAUAGGAACGGCAUCCUUUUUUGUUGCGGCCGGAGCGAAGCGGAGGCCGUAAUAAAAAAGAUAUAGUGGAUAGCGGGAAAUUGC
rnacentral:sRNA from 1 species